GCUAAUACAUGCAAGUCGAGCGGCCCUUCGGGGGCAGCGGCGGACGGGUGAGUAACGCGUGGGAAUGUGCCCUUUGGUACGGAACAACUGAGGGAAACUUCAGCUAAUACCGUAUGUGCCCUUCGGGGGAAAGAUUUAUUGCCAUUGGAGCAGCCCGCGUUGGAUUAGGUAGUUGGUGAGGUAAAGGCUCACCAAGCCGACGAUCCAUAGCUGGUCUGAGAGGAUGAUCAGCCACACUGGGACUGAGACACGGCCCAGACUCCUACGGGAGGCAGCAGUAGGGAAUCUUGCGCAAUGGGCGAAAGCCUGACGCAGCCAUGCCGCGUGAAUGAUGAAGGUCUUAGGAUUGUAAAAUUCUUUCACCGGGGAAGAUAAUGACGGUACCGCAAGAAUAAGCCCCGGCUAACUUCGUGCCAGCAGCCGCGGUAAUACGAAGGGGGCUAGCGUUGCUCGGAAUCACUGGGCGUAAAGCGCACGUAGGCGGCUUUCUAAGUCAGGGGUGAAAUCCUGGAGCUCAACUCCAGAACUGCCUUUGAUACUGGGAAGCUCGAGUCCGGAAGAGGUGAGUGGAACUCCGAGUGUAGAGGUGAAAUUCGUAGAUAUUCGGAAGAACACCAGUGGCGAAGGCGGCUCACUGGUCCGGUACUGACGCUGAGGUGCGAAAGCGUGGGGGAGCAAACAGGAUUAGAUACCCUGGUAGUCCACGCCGUAAACGAUGGGUGCUAGCCGUGGGGGGGUUUCCCUUCAGUGGGCAGUAGCAUUAGCAUCCCGCCUGGGAGUACGGGCGAGAUAACUCAGGGAUUGCGGGGCCGAAGCGGGACUUGGGUCAUCCGAGAGGAACUAAGCUGAUGCGUGUAAACUUGGAA
rnacentral:rRNA from 1 species